UAGUCUCGCACAGAUGCAUAUCAAUAAGCGGAGGAAAAGAAACUAACAAGGAUUCCCUUAGUAACGGCGAGUGAAGCGGGAAGAGCUCAAAUUUGAAAUCUUGAAAGGUCACCUUUCACGAAUUGUAGUUUAAAGAAGUGUUUUCUGUUACGAUCGUAAUAUAAGUUCUUUGGAAUAGGACAUCACAGAGGGUGAGAAUCCCGUCUAUGAUUGCGAUUUGUAGCUUUGUGAUACACUUUCAAAGAGUCGGGUUGUUUGGGAAUGCAGCCCAAAACGGGAGGUAAGUUUCUUCUAAGGCUAAAUAUUGGCGAGAGACCGAUAGCGAACAAGUACCGUGAGGGAAAGAUGAAAAGAACUUUGAAAAGAGAGUUAAAUAGUACGUGAAAUUGUCAAAAGGGAAGCGUUUAACACCAGUGUUGUUUUCUGAAAAUCAACCUCUGUUAGCUUUAUGCAUGUUUGUUUAGACCUAAUCAGCUAUCUUGCAUGUUCUAUUGUUUGCAGUGGUGCACUUUUCAGUUUACAGGUCAACAUCAGUUUUUUUUACCGUAAAAAAGUUAGAGAAAGGUAGCUCAUGGCUCCGGUCGUGAGUGUUAUAGUCUUUUUCCUAUGCGGUAGGAGAGACUGAGGUCUGCAGUGUAGGCUAUUUGGCUAGAUACUCAGGUGCUAUGUGAUACCAUUUCAUAAACAACUUGUUGAUUAUGUUUUGUCUAUUGCAUACUCGCUUGUACUAUCAUACCUACGCUUAGGAUGUUGAAGAUGUAGCACAUCAU
rnacentral:rRNA from 1 species